AGUUUGGUCUGAAAACCAGCUGGGAUUAAUGAAAGAACAAUAAUACUGCUUUUCCUGGGGUACAGUGCUUUGGUUUCUCAACACAAAAAGCUUAGCAUUUAAUUAGCCUGUGCAAUGUUUGUUUGAUAUGCUGCUACUCUGUUUUCUGUAGAGCCAUUCAGCUGAGACAACCGUGCUACUCAUCUUCUAGCUAGCCUCUAUUUGCAGUUAGAAUGAACUUUGUUUACUGUGGUAAGGAUAGCCUUGGAGCAGGAUCUCAAAGAAUGAGUGCCACAACAAGCACACUCCUACAGGAUGCUGACAUAAUUUCGCUGACUGCAUUGGAGAGUUCAUCUCUGGGCCAGUUGGGUCAAAGCAGUGGAAUGCUGGAUGACAAAUGACAAGACCAGUGGAUGAUGAGAUGCAAAGUUUUAUACUCUCACUUGUAAUGUUCUGUUGGAAGAAAGUAUUAGAAGCACAGUCUAUGCUUUAGGAAUUGUUCCUGAAAUGUCUAAAGGAAUAUUAUGAGAUCAUUAAGCUCCCCUGGUUACCUUCUGCACAAAAAAAUUACAUAUUGCUCUAGUCUCAGUACAUUUCCUUGGGAAGACUGGGGAAAAUUCAAGGUUUUGAUUCUUAUCUUUGAAGCCUUCUGUUGGAUUGGUCUAAUUUACCUAAGGGACCAUCUCAGCCUUCAUGAUCAGGGCUUCUCUUGCCAGAUGCAUUCCACUGAAACAAUGGAUAUGUCAACUCCAUGAAUAGAAGUUGUGCAUACUGAAAACAGAACAAUUGUUGUGAGUGUUCAUAAAUCUGGAACUCCUUCCCAGAGUUUAUCAAAAUGAAUAUAGAUCCCAGUAACUUCAAAGCACAACACAUUUCCAUCUUGUGAUAUCAUUAAAACUUA